AUGUGAGAUACGUACUAAUUUAUACCAUGUUGCACUGCAAUGAGAGGCCGUUUUCCAUUGAACGUAACCUACUUUUAAGUUAAUGAGGUUAGUGAAGGUUACGGAUACAUGUUUUGCUAGUAUAUGUUGUCCCAUGGGUCAUUCCAUAAGAUUUUUAUUUUGAUACUUAUUUAUCUUUGACCUAGGUCUUUGCUGACUAUGUUUCAAUGAAAAAUCCAAUUGAUGUUCCCAGAACUUGGUUAUGGCAUCUAGAGAAAAGAAUUGCAUAUUUUGGGGCAGGAGCAUCUUCCAUUUUAAAAGGUUUGUCAGCUAAUGAGAUUGAAGAUUGUUUCCGGAAAUGUUAUGUGUGUGUGAGCAAUUAAUGCAAAGACAGGAGCGCCAAGGCCAUUAUCAUAUAGAUUUCACCGGCAACAACACAAUUGUCAAAGCUAAAAUUGGUAACAAAAUAACCCAGGAUAAUGAAGUUAAGACUGAACAAGACAACUCAAGAAAAAGAAAGAUAACGAAUUAUGUAUUUAUCCAUAAUACUUUUUACUUUUAUUUUUUUAUAUUAAGACUCUUAGUUUUAUGCAUUUUUAAAUAUAAAAUUGUAUGAGAACUGUUGAUGCAAUA